rnacentral:tRNA from 1 species
UAGACUAAAGUCCGCCGGUUUGGACAGCUAGCUGUUAACUAGUAUUUGUGGGAUCGAGGCCCGCUAGUUUAG